AUUGAACGCUGGCGGCAUGCCUUACACAUGCAGGUCGAACGGUAACGCGGGGCAACCUGGCGACGAGUGGCGAACGGGUGAGUAAUGCAUCGGAACGUGCCCAGUUGUGGGGGAUAACUGCUCGAAAGAGCAGCUAAUACCGCAUACGACCUGAGGGUGAAAGCGGGGGAUCGCAAGACCUCGCGCAAUUGGAGCGGCCGAUGUCGGAUUAGCUAGUUGGUGGGGUAAAGGCCCACCAAGGCGACGAUCCGUAGCUGGUCUGAGAGGACGACCAGCCAACCUGGGACUGAGACACGGCCCAGACUCCUACGGGAGGCAGCAGUGGGGAAUUUUGGACAAUGGGGGCAACCCUGAUCCAGCAAUGCCGCGUGAGUGAAGAAGGCCUUCGGGUUGUAAAGCUCUUUUGUCAGGGAAGAAACGGUUGUGGCUAAUAUCCAUGGCUAAUGACGGUACCUGAAGAAUAAGCACCGGCUAACUUCGUGCCAGCAGCCGCGGUAAGAC
rnacentral:rRNA from 1 species